rnacentral:rRNA from 1 species
CCCUACUAUGCCUAACCGUAACACGACAAUUAAAUUACUAACUGUCCGCCAAAUAACUACGAGUAAAGACUUAAAACUUAAAAGACUUGACGGUGCUUCACAACAGUCUAGAGGAGCUUGUCAAAUAACCGAUACCCCACGAUUAACCCAACCCCCCCUAGCCAACAGUCUAUAUACCGCCGUCGCCAGCCUACCUUAUGAAAGAAAAAAAGUAAGCUAAAUAGUAAAAUACACUAGCACGACAGGUCGAGGUGUAACUCAUGGAGGGGCUAAGAUGAGCUACAUUUUCUAACACAGAAAAUACGAAUAAACUAUGAAACAAGAAACUGAAGGAGGAUUUAGCAGUAUACUGGAGAUAAAUUUACCCAGUCGAAAUUAAAGCAAUGAAGCGUGUACACACCGCCCGUCAUCCCUGCCAACUAAAUUUAAUAUACAUAAAAUUAUCAAAGUAUUAAAACA